rnacentral:rRNA from 1 species
UACGGGGGGGAGCAAGCGUUGUUCGGAUUUACUGGGCGUAAAGGGCGCGUAGGCGGCCACCGCAAGUCAAUUGUGAAAUCUCCGGGCUUAACUCGGAAAGGUCAACUGAUACUGCGGGGGCUAGAGUGCGGAAGGGGCAACUGGAAUUCUCGGUGUAGCGGUGAAAUGCGUAGAUAUCGAGAGGAACACCUGCGGCGAAGGCGGGUUGCUGGGCCGACACUGACGCUGAGGCGUGAAAGCCAGGGGGAGCGAACGGGG